CCCUUAGAUGUCCUGGGCCGCACGCGCACUACACUGACAGAGCCAACGAGUUUAUCACCUUGACCGAUAGGCCUGGGUAAUCUUGUUAAACUCUGUCGUGCUGGGGAUAGAGCAUUGCAAUUAUUACUCUUCAACGAGGAAUGCCUAGUAAGCGCGUGUCAUCAGCAUGCGUUGAUUACGUCCCUGCCCUUUGUACACACCGCCCGUCGCUACUACCGAUUGAAUGGCUUAGUGAGGCCUUCGGACUGGCUCAGGGAGGUCGGCAACGACCACCCAGAGCCGGAAAGUUCGUCAAACUACGUCAUUUAGAGGAAGUAAAAGUCGUAACA
rnacentral:rRNA from 1 species